rnacentral:ncRNA from 2 species
CGACAUCAACCGACAACAGUCCGUAUAUACUCGGGGAUUGGCCUGAGAGUCUCUACCCGGCGACCGUAAUCGCCGGACUACGAACGAAAGUGAAUCUAGG